UGAGACGGAGUUUUGCUCUUGCCCAGGCUGGAGUGCAAUAACGCGAUCUCGGCUCACUGCAACCUCUGCCUCCCUGGUUCAAGCGAUUCUCGAUUCUCCUGCCUCAGCCUCCCAAGUAGCUGGGAUUAUAGGCAUGCACCACCACGCCCGGCUGAUUUUGUAUAUUUAGUAGAGAUGGAGUUUCUUCAUGUUGGUCAGGCUGGUCUCAAACUCCCGACCUCAGGUGAUCCACCUACCUCGGCCCCCACAAAUGGAAGCACUCUUUAACACUGGGGUUUUUUUAAUCACUCUGUGCCAGGCACUGUGCUAAACUCUUUUGCUAAUAACUCAUUUAGUCCUAGUACAGUAUUACUUUAUAGAAGGUCAAAAGGCCCCUAGCCCAUAAUUAGAAAAACCAAGAACAACCAUUGUGGAACUGCCUCUCACUUCUGCUCAAGGGCUUCAAUGGCGUGUAAGGUGAGAGUAACAUGCGUAUGGCAAGGGUCACAGAGAGUGACUGGACCUGGUUUGGAGGACUAGUUAAGAGACCUUUUGGAGGUCUCUGCAGCUCCCGGCCCCUUAUUGGAGUCCAAGCCCAGAGCCAAUUCCCCCAGUGGCCAUAAGGUGGCAGCCUCACCCUCUGCCUGGCUGGACUGAGAAGAGGCUCCCAUUCAGAGCUCUGGCACACAGGAGUCCUCUCCUUUAUCGGAAAACUGCAGCGCUGAGAGAACGCGAA
rnacentral:lncRNA from 10 species